AUUAUUCAAUACAAUUGCUUUAUGCGAUUCUUCUUUGAGAGCUUAAGAGAGAUCUUGGUUCUUAACAUUGCAUCACGAAUAAGGUUUGAUAUUAACUUGUAUGUUUCUUAUUCUUGCUGCUUUUAAAAUCAAUCAGUUAUAAGUGUUCUUAAUUGCAUGUUAAUUAAGGGUGUGUUAGAUUGGGGAAUUAUUUUCUGAACUAAGUUCUUUUUACUAGGGUAUGUGUCGUUUC
rnacentral:lncRNA from 1 species